GUGAACUCAUUCUCGAUGCCAAGGAAUGAACUAGAAUUUACUGGAGAUUCUUUUCCCUCUUGGAUUCCUCCUAAAAUUAACUGAAUUAUCAUAAGAUUCCUCAUCAUUAAAAGGCUUCAAGACUCAAAUGGAAAAAUUCCUCACGGUGAAAUUUCAAGAACUCUCAAUGGCUGUGGAAGAUCAGAGUGAAGGGGAGAAUGGAACUAGGGAAGAAUGGCUACUGAAAGAUUUACCAAAACUUAUUUAACUCCCAGAAGGCUGGAUAUUCAGAUUAACCUGGAAAUGAACAGCAUUCACAGUUUACAACCAUUGGGCUCUUAAAAUACAAUAUCAUCACAGAAUCUAAAGAGGUAGGAAAUUUUUCCUGGAAAACGAAGACACUACCAAGUCAGUGAGAAGCCGCUUUACCCAGGCCCU